rnacentral:siRNA from 1 species
AGGACAAUCCGCAUCUACCUCUGC